rnacentral:rRNA from 1 species
UACGUAGGGUGCGAGCGUUGCCCGGAUUUAUUGGGCGUAAAGGGCGCGUAGGCGGCUCUGCACGUCCGUUGUGAAAUCGCCCGGCUCAACUGGGCGGGGUCAGCGGAUACGGCGGAGCUUGAGCAAGCUAGGGGGCAAUGGAAUUCCCGGUGUAGUGGUGGAAUGCGCAGAUAUCAGGAAGAACACCCGUGGCGAAGGCGGCUCUCUGGAACGCAACUGACGCUGAGACGCGAAAGCGUGGGGAGCAAACAGG